rnacentral:tRNA from 1 species
UGGGGAGUAGCCAAGUGGCAAGGCAGCGGGUUUUGGUUCCGCUAUACGCAGGUUCGAUUCCUGCCUCCCCAGCCA